CAAUAAUAGUGGUGCUAGAGAUGGUGAGAGUAAAAAAAAAUAUUAAGGAUAUGGAGGGUUUUGUUUUAAAAAUUAUUUUAUUACUAAGGAAAAGAAGACAUGAUUUUGUUUUUCUCAAAAAUAAUAAAACUACUAUUUAGAAUAAACUAUAGAUAGUCUACCUAGGUUUUCAUGUUUUUGUUUUUGAAAAUAUAAAAUAGGGGGGAAA
rnacentral:lncRNA from 1 species